CAGAAUGUUCAUCUUGAUGAAAUCUGGGUUGGGAUUGUAUUUGGGUCAUCUGGGGUCAAAAACUAUGUCACAAGGUCGAAAACUAGGUUACAUAAUAGGUCAAUUAAUAGAAAAACCUUGUGUAGACAAUAGAGGUCGCAGUUUUCAUCCAAUCUUUAUGAAAUUUGGUCAGAAUGUUAAUCUUGAUAAAAUCUGGGUUGGGAUUGUAUUUGGGUCAUCUGGGGUUAAAAAACUAGGUCACUAGGUCAAAAACUAGGUCAAAUAAUAGAAAAACAUUGUGUAGACAAUAGAGGUUACAGUUUUCAUCCAAUCUUUAUGAAAUUUGGUCAGAAUGUUUAAAUUGAUGAAAUCUGGGUUGGGAUUGUAUUUGGGUCAUCUAAGGUAAAAAACUAGGUCACUAGGUCAAAUAAUAGAAAAACCGUCAACAAUUUGUUUGUGUAGACAGUAGAGGUCACAGUUUUCAUCCAAUCUUUAUGAAAUUUGGUCUGAAUGUUUUUCUUGAUGACAUCUGGGUUUGGAUUGUAUUUGGAUCAUCUGGGGUCAAAAACUAGGUCACUAGGUCUAAAACUAGGUCACUAGGUCAAAUGAAAUCUGGGUUGAUAUUGUAUUUGGUUAGUCGGGUGCGCGAAUCAGAGCCAUCAUGGCCCUCUUGUUUAAAUUAAUUUUUAAAUGUAUUUCUUGCUCCUGAUCUUUGAACAUGCUUUUUUCCAGUACAUUGAUAUAUAAAGUUCAUUUAUUUAUUUGUAAGAUCUGCUUUUAUUUUUUAUGUUGUUAAGUGUUGUCUGUUUUGCUACUUUUUAUAAAGGAAUUUCUAUUACUUUUUGUUUAUGCAAAAGCAUACAAUGAGCAUGUUGAAUAUGCUGGUAAGUAUGCUUUGACACAUAGAUCUGUUAUGAUUGGGCAUUGAUCGAGAGUCUCAUCAGUAAAAACUUUCCCACUUCUGGUUUUAUGCUGGUUGCUCAAGCCAUUUUCACCUUGCUUCUUAUGGGGGAAAGGGUUUAUUUUUAGCUAAGCUGUUUUCGGAGAAAACCUGAGGUAUUGUCAUAGCCAGCUCGUCGUCGGCCGGCGGGCGUCCACCGUGCUAAAACCUUAACAUUGGCUUUAAAAUCAAAGUACUUCCACCUACAACAUUGAAACUUCAUAUGUAGAUGCACCUUGAUAUGUUCUACAUGCCACACCCAUAUUUGGGUCACUAGGUCAAAGGUCAAGGUCACUGUGACCUCUAAAACAAUAAAAUAAUCUGACAACCUUUCAUUUAUUCAAAAGUACACCCGCAGCCGAGCUUUUGCACCUGUUAUGUGGUGCUCUGGUUUAUUUCAGUUUUGGCCCAAUGUCAUAAAAGUACAGGUUGGUUUCAUAGACAUAAUACCAAUCUUCAACGAAGACAAAAGUCUUUUUAUGCCUCCGAAGGAGGGCAUAUAGUGACUGUCUAUCUGUCAGUCCGUCUGUCCGUCACACUGCUUUUAGGUUUCGAAAAAUGCUCAUAACUUCUAUGUUGCUUCAGAUGUAACCUUCAUACUUGGUAUGCAUGUGUAUAUGGACAAGGCCUUUCCAUAUGCACACAAAUAUUUUGACCCCUGUGACCUUGACCUUGAACUUAGGGUUCGCAUUUAGGUUUCAAAAUCUGCGUUUAGGUUUCGAAAAAUGCUCUUAACUUCUAUCAAAGCGUUUAUAGGGGGCAUAUGUCAUCCGAUGGUGACAGCUCUUGUUAGAAGAAUAUUAAGGUAUUAAUUAUUAUGAUACACUUGAAUGACGGUCAAUAUUUAAUGGAGGCAUCAUACAGCUUUCACAAACUGUAAUAUCAUCAUUCAUUUGAAUGUUUAUACAUACCAGUACUUUGCUUGUACUGUGAACCUUUACUACUUAGAUAUGCAUUUUGACGCAUUUGUAAUCCCAUAGAAAGUUAAAUUUAAUUAAAUACCUUUCUUACUAACUUAAGUUUCAAAGGCUUCAUUUACCGCCCUUAGGAACUGAUGAGCAGCAAACAGGAUAAAACCUGAACACUGAACAGCCUGCGAGUCACUUGCAGGAUGUUCUGGUAUAAUGCUUGUUGCAAAAGCCAUUUUCACUUUGCUUCUGAGUGGGAAAGGAUAAGAUAUGAGCAUAACAGCUUUUACAGCUGUAACUUUGUCAUUGCAACACCAACUUUGGGUGACAUGCCUAUGAUGCUGUCCUUGUUAUCCCCCUCCCCACAUUGUAAGGUAGGGCCAUGGAGGGGAGGUUGGGGGUAAGGUAUUAGAGUACUUAUACCGGUACUUUUGGAGUAUUGGUGGUGGCUAGAUUGAGGUUAGUCUUUCCUAUGUUUGUUGGACUGUCAGCCUGUCCCAGACAGGUAUUGGUAUUUUUGAUAAUAUUGCAUUGCUUCAAAAUAUCAGUAUCUCUAUUAUACCAGAGCAAUAUCCGAAUUUAGUGAAGACUUCCUAUGCAUGGAAUGGUUGGAAAAUAAUUUCGCUUAAAUGUUUACCUAUAUGCAAAAAUGUGAUGUGUGCACCCAUGUGGUUAGUUUAAGCUCUGCGUUUUUGGAGAAAAAAUGACAUAUUGUCAUAGCCAGCUCCCUGUGUCGUCUGACGUCCGCGUCGUGCUAAAACCAUAACAUUUUGUUAAGGUUUUGAACAUUGGCUCUAAAAUCAAAUUGCUUCCAUCUACAACUUUGAAACUUCAUAUGUAGAUGCACCUUUAUGAGUUCUACACGCCUCACCCAUUUUUGGGUCACUAGGUCAAAGGUUAAGGUCACUGUGACCUUAAAAAAAAAAUCUGACAAGCUUUCAUUUAUUUAAAACUGCACCCGUAGUCGAGCGUGGCACCCGUUAUGCCGUGGUGUUGUUGAGGAUCAAUUUUCAAGGUCAACUUUAAAAACAUAUGGCUUUUUUUGUCACUAUACGGCUUGUGUGUAUUGCAACUCUUCUAUAAAUUAAAGGAUUUUUUAAUAACUUAGCACAAACUUUCACCUAGAUGAGUUGGUUUGUUUCGUGCAACAAACAUGGCUACCUUCAAGGUCAAAAUUUGAAGUGGAUAUUAGAAAUUUAAUUGCAAAGUCCUUAUUUGCUAUUUACUUCACCAUGUAUUAAAUUUCAAUAAAAUAAUAUGCAACAAAUGGUUACCUGUUUGAGACUGUCUGUACACAACAAUCAUGUGGCAACCUUUAAAGUCAAGGUCAAAUGUAAAAAAAAAAACAGCCAUUUGAUUUCAAAAUAGGGCUUAUUUGGACUGUUACUCCCCCCCCCCCCCCUGGACUAAAGAAUUAAAAACAUGGCACUGAAGCUUACCUAUACAGAAUGGUGGGAGGCAUUUAAAACAAACAAGAUGCUACCCUUUAGGACAAGGUUAUACCCAUACUAAAAAGUAAUAAAUCAAACUAUAUUAAAUUGUUUUAGAAAUAAGGCGUAUUUACUCUACUUAGAUAACAGUACAACGUUUUAAAGGAUUUAAUAAUAGUAUGGCAUAUAUUCUUAGCUUCUGUUAUGUGAGUCUUUUUUGGCACACAAGAACCACAAAGGUCUUGAAGGUUAUGCUUAGAGAUCAAAAUUGAAAAGAGGUGAUGUUGUGAAUAAAGUUAAAAGGUCAAGGUCACUGUUAAAUACAAUAUGAAUCACAUUCUUUUGUUAUUUAAAUAAGUGUUGUUAUCUUCAACAUGUGUUUUGUGUUCCGAGUAUGAAAGUAUUAGGGAAUGUAUUUAAAAAGCAGAUGUAGCAGUUAAAUAGUGCAAUUGCUUUAUUGUUUACGUUUUAUUUUCAUGCGAAGCUUUAUUUGUGUUGAAGUGUUGUAACUGAUUUUAUUUGGUACCAUAUAUUGUUUAAGUCUUUCAAACAACAUGGUCAUGGCAUUGUUUUGUCUCAUGUUGAAUUAUUGUAUUUUUGUCCUGAUAGCGUUUGUCAGCAUUUUUCCAUCAAAUGAUGCUUUCCAAAGUGCUUAAUGUAUGGGCAAUUUGUAUAUUCGUUAUUACAAAGUUAACUGAUAGCUUAACAAAGUUAACUGAUAGCUAAAUGAAGAACAAUUAGCAUAUACUUUCUCAUGCAUAGCAAAGAGACAGUAUUGCUUUUCUUUAUUAAUGGUAUUUUUUGUAUUUUAUUGUUAUUGUAUUGUUGUUGUUGUUGUUUUUUAUUUAUAACCUUAAAAACUCUCGGAACGAAAAUUUCAUACCAAUAUUUGAUUUGUUUAAUGAGCAAGGAAACUUAUUAUUAUGUUCGUAAAUUAAUUUGAUUUAAUAUUAGUUUACAUUGUCAUGCAUGCUAUUUGACCUAGUUAAAAAAGAUGUUUAUCCUUUUGCAAAGGUUGAGAUUAAUUUUAGAUGGUUUUACUCUAGUUUUUAGCGCACUUGAGCACAACGCAAUUGGGUCACCUUUUGCCUUUAGUAAAUGUAGUCAGCAUUGAUUUUGAUAACACACAAAAUGGAAAUUUCUAAAAAAAAAUCCUAAUUAACUUAGUCAUAGAGUGUUUCCACAAAAAAUCUAUGCUGGCUUCAAAAUAAGGCAUACACAAUCCUGGUAAUUUAUAUACUGCCAUAUCCAUGUUUGUUACUUAUUUCUAGAUUAUAAAUUAGGAUGUGGAGGCCUUUGAAGCUUUGAGUCCUAUAGUUGUUAAAAAUAUAUAUGGGCCAUGCUUUGUGACAAGGGGUUUAAUGCACAUGUGAAGUGUCGUCCCAGAUUAGCCAGUGCAGUUCACAGGCCAGUUUGGAACGACACUUUUGGCUUUAAUUGGAUUUUUGCUUAGAAGAGACUUUUGUAAAGGAAAAAUAUGAUAAAAGCAGAAAGUGCCAUCUUUGAUUAGCCUGUGUGGACUGCACAGGCUAAUCUUGGAUGACAUGAAUUAAACCCCCUUUUCACAGAUCGCAAAUCAUAUGUUUUUAAUAUUUCAUGCAUUUCCAUGUACCUCAUGUCACAUCAAAGCCUUUCAAGAUACUAACCUACCGGUACUAAUGAGAUUAUUUUUUAAUUGUGUAAAUAUAUUUGAAGGAUUUUCUUGUAUCACAAAUGCAGGCUCAUUUAAGUUUGUUCAUUAUUUAAUUAUUUGUUAUGCAUUUUAAGGCACUUGCUUGCACUUUAUUCAAGUGAUGAACUUUUAAAUAAUUGUCAAUGAUUCCAAACAGGGGUGGUAUUCCAGAAACAUCUUAAGUCAUUUCUUAAAUAAUUUCACUUAAGUUCAAAAUUACAAUGUUUUGUAUUUCUUAACUAAAUAAGGAAACACAAGUUUUUUUUUAGUAUUCCUAAAAUAACAUUGGCAUAAUGAUUUAAUUUAAAUUAUUUAAAUGUAUAUCUUGAUGCCAAUGUAUUGCAAUAUGAAAUAAAACACAUAAGAAAAUUUCCCAAUUUAAGGAUAAGAAUAAAAUUUAACUUAAGAUGCUUCUGGAAUAUCACCCCUGGAGUAAGAAAAAUAUUGGUUCAUUGUAUAAUAAACUUUAGGUAUUGCAAAAAUAUUAAGCGUUUGUAACGCUUUUCCGUUUUUGUGGAAAAAAUGUUUUGAAUUUGCACGGCAUUGAUAAUUUGCUGAUAAAAAUAACAACCAUUCAGGCCGUAAUUUAAACUGACUUUUGAUCAAUUAAAUAAAGCUAAAAUAUACAACGUAUUACAGGGACCUUUUAACGUUUUGGUAAAUUGACAAAGUUGGAAAAAGUUGACAUUUACUGUGCUCUAAAAUAUCUGUAAUAUGCAUUUUUUAAUGAUUUUUAAACCUGUAAACUAUAGAUUUUCAAACAUGAAAUGAUUGAAUAAUUUGGAGAGUUCUGUUGUUAUCGUUAUAUGUUGCCACACUUUGGGGAUUUCUUAAAUUAAGUAUAAAAUACACCACUCAAUGUAUGAGCACGGAUGGUCAAGCGGUUUAUGUGCUAGCCUUUUACUCUAAGGGUCAGUGGUUCAAGCCUUGUUGAGGAUUAUUUUUCUUUCUUGAUUUUUUUCUUGUUUUUCUUGCUUGAGAUUUUAAGUGCCUAUGUUCACAUUUAUCAUUUUAAAACAUUUAAUGACAAACUUCAAUACAUGCUAAAGUCUGUAAAAUUGUUCCUUAAAUUGUCAAUCGUCUUUUUCCAAUUGUGUAUGUUAAAUUCCAGCACUAUUUCUGUUGUUAACAGUUUCUUAAACAACAUCAAAUAAUUUCAUAAAUGCUUGUGUCUAGAGUAAUUAUAUCUAAGCAUGGCUUUAAAUAAUGAUAUUUUUUAUUUGACAAUUGUCUAGCAAGCUAUAUCUGACCGAUAUUAUUUCUGCAUUUAUCUAUAGUUUGCAAUUCCCCUUUAUUGCAUGAUGAUUUAAGCUCAUAUGUUAUGAAAAUCUUGCCAGUGGAGCCAUAAGGGUCAUGAUUAAAGUGCGUGACAUUGUGUGUGAUGUCAACUGGUACUGCAAUUUUCAAAGAUUGUUCAUGCUACAGUGCAUGGUUAACCACAUGGUGUCGUUAUAAUGAAAGCAAGGUAUCACAUGUUUUAAAAAUCUGUAUCCAAUCAAAGAAGAAUUGCUGGUUUGUUUUCAAUAAGUGUAUCAUUUGUGUUUUAUUAUGCUCCCCGAAAAUUUUCGGGGAGCAUAUAGUUGCCACUUUAAAAUUCCUUCCGUACUUCCUUCCUUCCGUCACACUUAUUACCGUUUCUCAUAGCACCUUCAAUACUUUACAGAUCUCUUUCAUAUUUGGCAUGUAGGUACCUUGCAUUAACCUCUACCUUUUGAUGAGGUUUGAGGUCACUGGGUCAAGGUCAAGGUCACCGAGGCUAAUAAUAUACUUUUUCCAUCACUCUUUGUUAACAGUUUCUCAUAGCACCUUCAAUACUUUACCGAUAUCUUUCAUAUUUGGCAUGUAGGUACCUUGCAUGAAACUCUACCUUUUGAUGAGGUUUGAGGUCACUCAGUCCAGGUCAAGGUCACUGAGGCUAACAAUAAUAUACUUUUUCCGUCACACUUUUGUUACUGUUUCUCAUAUCACCUUCAAUACUUUACCGAUCUCUUUCAUAUUUGGCAUGUAGGUACCUUGCAUGGACCUCUACCUUUUGAUGAGGUUUGAGGUCAAUGGGGUCAAGGUCACCGAGGCUAAUAAUAGAAUUUUCCAUCACACUUUUUUACAGUUUUUCAUAGUAUCUUCAAUACUUUACCGAUCUCUUUCAUAUUUGGCAUGUAGGUACCUUGCAUGGACCUCUACCUUUUGAUGAGGUUUGAGGUCACUGGGGUCAAGGUCACAGAGGCUAUUAUUAGAUUUUUCCGUCACACUUUUGUUACAGUUUCUCAUAGCACCUUCAAUUCUUUACCGAUCUCUUUCAUAUUUGGCAUGUAGGUACCUUGCAUGGACCUCUACCUUUUAAUGAGGUUUAAGGUCACUGAGUUCAAGGUCAAGGUCACCGAGGCUAAUAAUAGAUUUUUCCGUCACACUUUUGUUUCAGUUUCUCAUAGCACCUUCAAUACUUUAUCGAUCUCUUUCAUAUUUGGCAUGUAAGUACCUUGCAUGGACCUCUACCUUUUGAUGAGGUUUGAGGUCACUGGGGUCAAGGUCACAGAGGCUAAUAAUAGAUUUUUUUAGGUGGUUAUUAACACAUAGAUUGACAAAGCGCAUCAUCGGGGAACAUCCAUCAGUUUCACUGAUAUUCUUGUUUUCUGUAGUAUCCAAGCCAAAUGAAUUAUGAAAAUUAAUUUCUAGUUUAAUGUCAUUCCUUUCACCAGCAUUGUUCUUAUUGUAAUUUUCAUCAGAAAUAAUUGGUUGUCCUGGUUUGGUUGUCAUGGUUAUGUAUAUUAAAGAAUUAUUGUAAUAAAUGUUAUUAAACUUUAUUGAAUA